rnacentral:rRNA from 1 species
AUUGAACGCUGGCGGCAUGCUUUACACAUGCAAGUCGAACGGUAACAGGCCGCAAGGUGCUGACGAGUGGCGAACGGGUGAGUAAUGCAUCGGAACGUGCCCAGUCGUGGGGGAUAACUAUCCGAAAGGAUAGCUAAUACCGCAUACGAUCUGCGGAUGAAAGCGGGGGACCUUCGGGCCUCGCGCGAUUGGAGCGGCCGAUGUCAGAUUAGGUAGUUGGUGGGGUAAAGGCUCACCAAGCCAACGAUCUGUAGCCGGUCUGAGAGGAUGACCAGCCACACUGGGACUGAGACACGGCCCAGACUCCUACGGGAGGCAGCAGUGGGGAAUUUUGGACAAUGGGCGCAAGCCUGAUCCAGCAAUGCCGCGUGCAGGAAGAAGGCCUUCGGGUUGUAAACUGCUUUUGUACGGAACGAAAAGCCCCGGGUUAAUACCCUGGGGUCAUGACGGUACCGUAAGAAUAAGCACCGGCUAACUACGUGCCAGCCGCCGCCGUAA